GUUAUUUGUCAGUUUCCUUGUCGCGAGUGAAAAAUUCAGUUGGUGGCUAAUAAAAGUGUUUAAAAGUGAAAAAGAACGCUAUAAAUAUCACAUCAUGUGAAGUUUUUGCAUAAUUAUAAUGUUAGUAAGUGUAUUUAUUGUAAGAAAAGUGUGUGUUCGGUUAAAAUGCUCGGCUAGAGUGUGCGUUAGUGAAAAGCCUGUGCAGUAAAAUGCACAUAUUUGAGUGAGUGAAAUGUGUUUGUUUUUAAGUAAAUAUGCUUAAAUUGAGUGUGUAAUUAUUCGCUGAUUUGCAAUAAUAAAUAUAUUUAAUAACGUAUUAUUGAAAAAUGAAUGCGUGUGCUAGCAAUAGCAAGAAAAAGCCGUGUUCGUACAUGCUUACGCAAGUAAGUGCAUAGGCGCAGGAAUCAGGCUCUCAAUUAUUUGUGUGUAUGACACGACGCGAAUGUUGGGGUUUUGAAAAUAUUUUGAGCCGGAAAUGAAGGCAAGGAAAUACCCAAGCAAUGUUCGAAUUUAGUUUGUUGAGUAUGCAGACGACUGAAAGGGUGUUAAAGAUCUUCGUGGUACGAAAAAGGCUAGAGUUCUAGGUGAGAACUUCCAAGAAGCUUCAAAGCUUAACUUCGUACGUGAUAAGGAUCACUGGAAGGGAUGAAAUCAUGGGUAUGGCCACCUGCCAAUUUUUCGAGACCCCCCACUUCAUCGGCUGCUAAAAUUUUGGAUUUUGAAAAAAAAAAAUUUUUAAUUUUUUUCUGUACUCUUAAAAG